rnacentral:rRNA from 1 species
UACAGAGGGUGCGAGCGUUAAUCGGAAUUACUGGGCGUAAAGCGCACGUAGGCGGCUUGGUAUGUCGGGUGUGAAAUCCCCGGGCUCAACCUGGGAACUGCAUCCGAAACUGCCUUGCUAGAGUAUGGGAGAGGGAAGUGGAAUUUCCGGCGUAGCGGUGAAAUGCGUAGAUAUCGGAAGGAACAUCAGUGGCGAAGGCGACUUCCUGGACCAAUACUGACGCUCAGGUGCGAAAGCGUGGGGAGCAAACAGG